rnacentral:lncRNA from 1 species
UUAGUAGAUGAUUACAUUUCCGUUCCUUGCAUGUUACCUAGGUUGUGUAGCAUUGUGGGCCUGACACUUGAUCUUAGGUUGCAUGAGGAUGGGGUCUUGUGACAAGAAUCCUAUAGUGACAAGAAUGAUGAUGAACUUGGACAUGUAAUUGGCCUAGACGAGUGGCAUUUGGACUAGUGUAACAAAGACACUAUAAUAUUGACGAGUGGCAUGUCGAUUUAGUGUAUUAAGACACAUAUAACAUCAUGACAUAAACGAGUGGCAUCAAAUCUAGUGUAGUGAAACACUAUGGCAUUUGAACCUAGGGAUAGUAGAUUUUCCCGAUUGUCAUGUUGUAGACAUUAUGCAUUUGGCAUUAGUGCAUUUGAGGCAUUGAUUAUGCAUUUGGUAUUGUGCAGCAGAGGCACAUUGACCCUGGUAGAUAGGGUAUCCUCUUGUGAGGAUUGGAUCAUACUCACUAGUCUGUUUUUGCUUGUCGGUGGUCGCUCCACCGAAGCACGAGUCUCCGGAGUACUUCACUAGGGGCAGACGUAGUUGUCCCGCAGACGGUCUCGGUGUGCGAGUGCAGAUUCUCCUCACCUAUGAGAUUGAAAGUGAGUCGGGGUUGACCCCGGGGUGGCAACCUUCAGGUUAGCCAUGAGAUUGGAUACUAUCGAGGCAUAGUUGCACGACGCACUAUGUAGUAGCUCGUUCAUUCGGAUUAUUGAGGCAUAGUAGCAUGUGCAGAUACAUCACUAUGUAGUAGCUCAUUUCUAAGCAGAUUGGGUAAAGAAUAUGAAUGGCAUAGCAUAUUUGAAUUCAUACCUUGAGUUGACAUUGAGACAUAGUAGCAUGUUGUAGAUACAUCACUAUGUAGUAGCUCAUUUCUAUUAUUGUUGAAGCAUAGUAUCAUGAUUAGUAGAAUAUCAUUGCUAUGUUCAUACAUUCCAUGAUUACAGAGGCAUAGUAGCAUGUGUGUAUUCCAUUACUAUGUAGCAGCUCGUACUUAGUAGAGCGAGAUUGAGUCGGGCGAGGAGCGGGGUAGCUCUUUGCCUAGGACCUUCGAGAUUGAGUCGGGCAAGGAGCGGGGUAGCUCUUUGUCUAGGACCUUUGAGAUUUGAGAUCUUAGGCAAGUUGGCCUAGUCGAUUGGGUUGUAACAUGAAUAGCAUAAGUGGAUUGCAUUCAUGCCAUGAUUGGACAUAGUAGACUGCAUAACUUUAUUGUAGUUGUAUUUAUUACACUGUUGAAGCAUACUAGCAUGAUAGUAGGUUAUUGCUAGCUGAUGUUCCAUGCAUUCUUUGCAUUUGAUGGCAUAGUAGAUAUAGUAGCAAUGUAUUUCUAUCUACCUUUCUAUCUAUCUAUCUGUGCCAGCUUGGACCUAGUGGGAAAACCGGCGGCGUCGGCGGCCGAACCCACUGGGAACUAUAUUUAUAUAGUUCUCACCCCGUGUGGUUUUGGGGUACAG